AUUGAACGCUGGCGGCGUGCUUAACACAUGCUAGUCGAUCGGUAACAGGCCUAGCUUUACGUGCUGACGAGCGGCGAACCGGUGAGUAAUGCUUCCGAAUCUUCCUCAUUGUGGGGAAUAACCUGGGGAAACUCCGGCUAAUACCGCAUACGAACUACGGUUGAAACCAGGGGAUCAAAAGACCUUGCGCUAUGAGAUGAUCCCAACUCUCAUUAGCUAUUUGGUGAGGUAACGGCUCACCAUCGCCACCAUCCGUAGCUGGUCUGAGAGGACAACCAGCCACACUGGGACUGAGACACGGCCCAGACUCCUACGGGAGGCAGCAGUGGGGAAUAUUGGACAAUGGGGGCAACCCUGAUCCACGACGCCGCGUGUGUGAAGAAGGCCUGCGGGUUGUAAAAGCACUUUUAGUGGGGAUGAAAAGCCUAAAGCUAAUACCUUUCGGUCUUGACCUAACCCCAACAAAAAAGCACCGGCUAACUCUGUGCCAGCAGCCGCGGUAAUACAGAGGGUGCAAGCGUUAAUCGGAAUUACUGGGCGUAGAGCGUGCGUAGUCGGUUAUUCAGGUCGGUGUGAAAGCCCCGGGCUCAACCUGGGAAUUGCAUUCGAUACUGGUUACCUAGAUUUCGGCAAGGGAAGCGGAAUUUCCGGUGUACCGGUGAAAUGCGUAGAUAUGGGAAGGAAACAUCAGUGGCGAAAGCCGGCUUCCUUGGUCCCAGAAUCUGACGAAUCAGGCCAAGAAAAGUGUGGGGGAACCAAACAGGAUUAGAUACCCUGGUAGUUCCACGCCCAUAAACGAUGACAACUAGACGUUGGGAGGGUAAGCCUCACAUUGUCGCAGCUAACGCGUUAAGUUGUCCCCUGGGGAGUACGGCCCGCAAGGUUAAACUCAAAGGAAUUGACGGGGACCCCCCCAAGCGGUGGAGCAUGUGGUUUAAUUCGAUGCAACGGGAAGACCCUUACCUGGCCUUGACAUCCAUGGAAUCCUGAAGAGAUUUGGGAGUGCCGCAAGGAACCAUGAGACAGGUGGUGCAUGGCUGUUGUCAGCUCGUGUCGUGAGAAGUUGGGUUAAGUCCCGCAACGAGCGCAACCCUUGUCCUUAGUUGCCAUCAUUAAGUUGGGAACUCUAAGGAGACCGCCGGUGACAAACCGGAGGAAGGUGGGGAUGACGUCAAGUCAUCAUGGCCUUUAUGGCCAGGGCUACACACGUGCUACAAUGGCAGGUACAGAGGGAAGCCAACCGGCGACGGGGAGCUAAUCCCAGAAAGCCUGUCUUAGUCCGGAUUGGAGUCUGCAACUCGACUCCAUGAAGUUGGAAUCGCUAGUAAUCGCAGAUCAGCAUUGCUGCGGUGAAUACGUUCCCGGGUCUUGUACACAC
rnacentral:rRNA from 1 species